CAAGGGAAUGGGGUAUUCCCCCUCAUUCCAUAAGUUAGUUCAAUCUCUCUCCUCAACCUAACUCCUCAACCUCACUCCUCAACCUCAGUCAUCAUCCCACCCACCGGAGACCCACCCACCAGAACCAGAAGGUUUGAAGCCGGAAUUCGCCGGAAAAUUCGCCGGAAAGAGGCGUAACUGUGUUUUUUCGUGAAUUGAAGCCGAUAGUUUAAUGCAAGUCAGGGGUGGUGGAGGAAGAUUUCACAGCGAAAUGGAUAGAUAACAAUGACAUGUUCGUUGUAUUUUGCGCGUCGGAUUGCUUUCUUUUGUAACGAUCUAAUGCAAGUGUAAUUUUAAGUACCUCACUUAGCAUUCUAAUGGUUGUAUGGAUGAUGUUAAGUACUUUGUAUGAUUAUUGUUUUAUGAA